rnacentral:rRNA from 1 species
GACGAACGCUGGCGGCGUGCUUAACACAUGCAAGUCGAGCGGUAAGGCCCUUUCGGGGGUACGACGAGCGGCGAACGGGUGAGUAACACGUGGGUGACCUGCCCUCAGCUCUGGGAUAAGCCUGGGAAACCGGGUCUAAUACUGGAUAUGACUCCAUGACGCAUGUUGUGGGGUGGGAAAGCCUUGUGCGGCUGAGGAUGGGCCCGCGGCCUAUCAGCUUGUUGGUGGGGUGANGGCCUACCAAGGCGACGACGGGUAGCCGGCCUGAGAGGGCGACCGGCCACACUGGGACUGAGACACGGCCCAGACUCCUACGGGAGGCAGCAGUGGGGAAUCUUGCGCAAUGGGCGAAAGCCUGACGCAGCGACGCCGCGUGAGGGAUGACGGCCU